GCCGUUGUAGCUCAGUUGGUAGAGCACGUCAUUGGUAAUGACGAGGUCAGCAGUUCAAUCCUGCUCAACGGCUCCA
rnacentral:tRNA from 1 species